rnacentral:rRNA from 1 species
UACGGAAGGCAGCAGUGGGGAAUAUUGGACAAUGGGCGAAAGCCUGAUCCAGCCAUGCCGCAUGAGUGAAGAAGGCCUUCGGGUUGUAAAGCUCUUUUAGUGAGAAAGAUAAUGACGGUACUCACAGAAGAAAUCCUGGCUAACUCCGUGCCAGCAGCCGCGGUAAUACGGAGAGGGCUAGCGUUAUUCGGAAUUAUUGGGCGUAAAGAGCGCGUAGGCUGAUUAGUAAGUUAAAAGUGAAAUCCCAAAGCUUAACUUUGGAAUUGCUUUUUAAAACUGCUAGUCUAGAGAUUUGAAAGAGGAUAGAGGAAUUCCUAGUGUAGAGGUGAAAUUCGUAAAUAUUAGGAGGAACACCAGUGGCGAAGGCGUCUAUCUGGUUCAAAUCUGACGCUGAGGCGCGAAGGGCGUGGGGAGCAAACAGGGAUUAGAUACC